UUCCUCCCCGCCCCCCAUCAUCUCCCCAUUGCCAGCUGGCGGCCGCGGCACCGCGAUCCUACAGGGUGACACAGCGGCUCCCGGCCCUAUGGGGCGCGGUGGGGCCGGAGCGGCCCUAAUAUGGACAUGGGGCCGCGUCGCCCGCGGCGGGGAACGAGUGGGCGGGGCCACGAGGAGGGGGACUGAUGGAGUGAGGCGGGACAACGCGCUGACGGGCAGCGGGAUAAACCAAUCAGCGCGCGUCGCUUGCAACACCCCGAGGGGUGGGUGCUUUCUGAUUGGUCAGCGUAGGAAGGAGGCGGGAGCGUGCGGCGUGGCGCGGCGCUACUUCCGGUCGGUGCGGCGGAGCGGCGGGGAGAGGGCGGCGGAGCGGCCGGUCACCAUGAGCACCCAGGAGCUGCUGGUGCUGCUGUGUCUGAGGCGCGGCGUGCGUGGCCGCCAAGCCCCACGGAGAAGAAGAGCGCGUGACCACGAGGCGCCGCUGAGCGCGACACAGGAGGCACAACGACGCUACAGAGCUUCGACUACGACCACGACGCCUUCCUGGGAGCCCGACGAAGGGCCAAACAAAACCUUCGACCAGCUGACGCCGGAGGAGAGCAAGGAGAGACUGGGGUAGGGACUGAGAGCAAGGAGAGACUGGGGUAGGGACUGAGAGCAAGGAGAGACUGGGGUAGGGACUGACAAAGCAAGGAGAGACUGGGUGUAGGGACUGAAGAGCAGGAGAGACCUGGGGUAGGGACUGACGA
rnacentral:lncRNA from 1 species